rnacentral:lncRNA from 1 species
CCAGUCAAGUCAAGUUAUUCCUUGUCGGAGUUGUCCUGUCAAGUUGAUCCUUGUCCAGUGGAGUUGAUCCCUGUCCAGUCAAGUUGAUCCUUGUCCAGUGGAUUUGAUCCCUGUCCAGGCAGGCUGUUGUUAUAGGUAAGUACAUCAUAUGUGAACUAUAUAGGAUCAUUUUAAUACUGAAAUUUGUUUCGAAUGUAAAAUAUUCAAACUCUAUAAGGGGAGAUAAUCAACUAAAUAGUUUCAACAUUCAUAUAAUACCCAAGACCAAUAUUUUAUAGUAGAUGAGACACACACGAACAUGACAUCAUUGCAAAAUUAUUUUUCUUAAAAAAUACAAAUGAAAUAGAAAGGUUAAACUUAUGUGUGAACUUUGGGUAAAGGAUAGAAAAAAAUGAGUGCUAAGGCUACAUUGUGUACAUCACACUGAUAUCAACCCUAUAUUAAACAGGUACAACACAACAUUAUAACUCCCGCAAUAUUUCAACAGUAUAUAUCGAUGAGAACGCAACCCAACAAAGCAAGAACUAUAAGAAGCAAGGAAAUAUGUAGAGGUCAAUAUAUAGUCAAUAAAUACAUAAUUCUUCAAAUGACAAGGUCUAGAUUUUCAUGACGCUGGCCAUACAAGUAAGGGUUUAUUCUUGUUAAUCAUUUGUUAAUGAAAUAAUUGAAAAAUAUACCUUUAUUGUUCAUAGUUAUUUUGUUGAAACAGGAAAUAUUACACAAACAUUGAUAUGUUUAUAAGAUAAAGAAAAAUUCAUAUAUAUCACAACAGUUACUGAAAAAAGAAGUACCGAUAUAAAGUAUUUUGAAGUGAUUCAUAUAUUUUACAUAUAUCAGGCUUAAACAAGUAAAUAAUGAUUUAGAAAUAUUUUUCAGAGAUGCUUUAGAUGAUGGCACAUUCUUACUGAUAAAUUCAGCUGACCUCAGUUUUCAUCAAAUUAG